AAGGGCUCCAUAUGAGAGCCUAGCAAACCUGAUUACCAUAUCACAUCUUUUACUGGUACAGAGGAGCGAGCCCCUGAACUUUCCUACCAACUUGCCCAGAGGAUGGGCACCGUUAGAAGAGGAAAGGAUGUAGUUUAAAAAGCCAUCAUCAAUUGAAACAACAAAAAUGGAGGACUCGGAUUCUGCAGAAAACACAUCCUGAGACACAACCCCAAUUAACUCCGCAUGUUUGUGGUGAUGACUGAGCAAGAAGAGAUCAUGGGAAGUUGACAAGUCUGGACUGAAUCAAGAGAAUCAGCAUAAAUCUCAACCGAUGCCUAAUUUUAGAGAUGUCUGGUCCUCUAAACGCGUCUUUGCCACAGCCAGAUGGGGUGGGAGACAACAUUGGAGGGUGGAAACGAGAGAGGUGCCAAACUGAAGCUCAAAAGGUCAGAGCAUCUACCAUUUUGAAGCCAGUGCAUGACAGACGGUGUGAAGAAGGCCAUCAAGAUACUCCCAUGGCCUUUGUGCCCCUCAAGAUACUGCUUCUCCUAUGCAUUUUGCUCUGGUGAUGGUGGGUGUUGUGAAAGAGAAAAGAUGGUUAGAGAAAUUAUCCUAUGCUAAGCAAGUGUGGACAAGGAUCAAGUAAUCAGAAGACAUAAGAGUGCUAGAGGCUUCACUUACAACCAUAAGCCAUAGGAAGAGCAUCUCUCUUGGGGGUCCUGACUACACCACUUUGGAUGCUCACUCUCAAGUUCCUGACCAGUGGCAUUUUCCUCUCGGUUCCUGACUUUCACAGAUUCCCCCCACCCCAUGAAGUCCCAAUUGGAAUAUGAGUUCUUUAAAAUAUUAUAAUCGAGCUGCAGUCCCAGUGCCUUUUGGCUCUGCUUUUCCGUAUGUGUUUAAAAAUGCAACAGCAAUUGUCAUAGUUAUUCAUCAAUUUAAAAGGCAUAAAGGCAUAGAAAUUGGGUACAGUCUCAAGAGGAAAAAAAUGGUUCUUUAAAACAGAA
rnacentral:lncRNA from 1 species